UGGUGGAGUGAUUUGUCUGGUUAAUUCCGUUAACGAACGAGACCUUAACUUAUUAAAUAGCUGCGUUAAUAGCCUAAUGCGUGAAGCUGGGUUCGCGCUUUGCCUUGUGUAGGGCGCUGAUCCGGUGGAUCGUGGGCUAAUUGGUGAAAAUGCUUCUUAGAGGGACAAUUUGUGUUUAACGAAUGGAGGUUUUAGGCAAUAACA
rnacentral:rRNA from 1 species